rnacentral:tRNA from 1 species
ACACCGUUGGUGAAACGGUAUCAUGCACCGUUGCCAUUUGGACUCAACUCCUCAUACAACGGAUUCGGUGCGGCAAGGGUUCGACUCCCUUACGGUGUA